rnacentral:tRNA from 1 species
GCCCGGGUGGCGAAAUCGGUAGACGCAGCGGACUUAAAAUCCGCCGGACCCUGAUAGGUCCAUGCCGGUUCGAUUCCGGCCCCGGGCACCA